rnacentral:lncRNA from 1 species
AUUGCGUUGCUUCCUGUUUAGGGUAGAGAGACCAUAGAACUUUUUGGAAAAUCCAUUUCCUUUUUCUUGUGCAAUAUCUUUCUCUACUUCUCCAGGCAGUGUAGGUACAGAGAUGCUGCAGUGUGAGCUGGGAAAAGCCAAAAGUGAUAUGCCAGAGGGUGUGGGGAAACUCUUCAAAGCUGGUGUCAGCUCUGGAAAGGAGCGUAGGGAAGGCUGACUGUGUCACGGGUUGAUGCAUGAUUCACCUUUCCUAGGAUACUUCCGGUCAGGAUCAAAGAAAGGAGACCUUCUAGUUGGAAGACUAAAGAUGUUUUCAGUUUGGUCCAGAGCAAGGAUAAAAGGCCCUUGUGGCUUGAGAUGUAACCUGAUAUUAAAAUCAACACAGAAAGAAAAACUCCUUAACGUCAGGCGGGUUUCUGCAUCCUUUGCAAAGUGAAAGAUUAUACCCGGCACUUCUCAAGAAUGCAGACAGAACACCAGUUUUUAUUCUUGACUCGUUACUCUGCUCUCGUGUCACAGGCUAACCUGGUGAGACGGGAAUUUUCCAUUUGGCAUCUCUUUGUAUGGGGUGUGUGUGUGUGUGUGUGUGUGUGUGUGUGUGUGUGUGUGUGUGUGUGUGUGUAAGGUUUCCAAGGAGCUUGAGCUUGACUUUUCUUAUACACCUCAGUGCCUGGGUUGCUGCAGUAUCCUGAAGCUCCAGGGAGUCCUGACCAUCCUCAUUGGACUUUGUGGGAAAUCCAUGCGAUACCCAGUGCUGUUUUUGUCAUAAAGAGACAGUUUGCUGCAAAUGAGGACUGUUCUUAAGCAUGCCCAGCUUCCGCCUUAGGUCAUGGACUCUGUGUUUUUCAUACCAACUGUCCUCUCCUCUGAAAUGUGUCAAGUGGAAAUAAGACCCGCUCAUUAUCCCUCAGAGCUCGCCUAAGGGAUCUAACCCUGAGGUCUGCACUCAGCAACCAGGGUCACAUGUGGCCAAAUGUAAUCGAAAGGGCCAGUUGCAUAAACACACUCAGACUGGAGACUGCUGACAACCACUGCUGAUGGACCCCUAAAUUAGUCAAGGUCAGUUCCAGCUCCCUGCUUCUGAAGCUCCCUGGCUACCUGGAGGAGCGGCCUCAGGAAUGCACUGACAGCCAAGGAUAUGACCCUGUCUGCCACUUGGCUGCCUUUUCAAACAAACAAGUUCUUCCCGCUGUAGCUGCCAAUGUCUUCUGUCUUAUCCUUUGAACCUAUCACCAAACACUGCCACCCCUGAGGAAGUCAGUCACCCACCGGGGCUUCUCAUUUCACUGGUGUGCGCAGAUUCUCUCCUUCCAGUAUGAAAGUGCAAAUACUGGGUGUCCUUGCUGGACAAAGUAGGAGAGCCACCGGGCCUUUUGUCUUUGAACUUCAGGCAACAGAGCAAUGUCCCCUGUGAGAUGCACCAGUGUCCCAGUCAU